rnacentral:rRNA from 1 species
GACAGAGGCCUCAAGCGUUAGGCGGAAUCACUGGGCUUAAAGCGUGUGUAGGCGGAUGCCUAAGUACCUUGUGAAAUCCCACGGCUCACCCGUGGAACUGCUUGGUAUACUGGGUGUCUUGAGCCACUUAGGGGCUACCGGAACAAAUGGUGGAGCGGUGAAAUGCGUAGAUAUCAUUUGGAACGCCAAUGGUGAAAACAGGUAGCUGGGAGUGUGCUGACGCUGAGACACGAAAGCCAGGGGAGCAAACGGG